AGGGUGCUAGAUAGACUGGAUGAAUUGAUGGCAUCCUUUUUCCUGCCUAGUCAGUCCAUUUUCUAAGCUUCCCCUUUUUAGAAGAGGCUAGAGGAUUUUAUUCUCCUCUAGAAUAUAACUCUGGCGUGGCUUGCCAAGAGGGGGAAAUCAGAGAGAGGAAUACGGGAACCCGCCAGUACAAUUUCUAUUGUUUGAAACUCACUUUGUAGCAAAGAAAUUGAAGAUGAAAACGGUAAAGAAAUGGACAUUUAUAUGCUAUUCAUUUUAACUCCUCAAUGGCAUGUGAAGGAAUGAUUUUUAAAAUUUGCUUUUGGAUUAAAAAUGUCUGCAGACUUUAAAAAAGGAGCAUAUGAUUGCAAAACACCUAUCAAGAAGUGGAACAAAUAGCUAAUCCUGAAGAAAUAUAAUAAAUCCUGGUUAUGGUGCCAUACUGGAGUGGAGUUAAAGCUGUAUCACAUAGGUAGCUUACUUCUUAUAAAUUAUGGAAAUAUUGUGGAAGACGUUGACUUGGAUGUUGUGCUUAAUUAUGGUUUUGUCAGAAUUUCAUGGUGACAACAGGCUUUCAUACAAUUCUCAAGAGGAAUUCCUGUCUUAUCUUGAACACUACCAACUAACAAUCCCAAUAAGGGUUGAUCAUAAUGGAGCCUUCCUCAGCUUUACUGUGAAAAACACUAAGCCCUCCAAGAGAAAGAAGAGGAGUACUGAACAUUAUGACCAAGAACUGGCAGUUUCUAAAUUAUUUUUUAAACUUUCUGCCUAUGGCAAGCACUUUCAUUUAAACCUGACUCUCAACACAGAUUUGGUCUCCAAACACUUCACAGUAGAAUACUGGGGGAGAGAUGGACCUCAGUGGAAGCAUGACUUUUUAGACAACUGUCAUUAUACAGGAUAUUUACAUGGCCAGCAUGGUACAACUAAAGUAGCAUUAAGCAACUGCAAUGGUCUGCAUGGUGUUAUUGCUACGGAAGAUGAAGAGUAUUUUAUUGAGCCUCUAAGAAAUGCAACUGAAAAUUUCAAUAAUUUCAGUUAUGAAAGUGGUCAUCCUCAUGUCAUUUACAAAAAGUCUGCCAUGUAUCAUCAGCUCUUCUAUGACCAUACUCAUUGUGGUGUCUCAGAAGACCCCACAGGAAGCAGUGAACCUUGGAGGUUGAACACUACCAUUGCUUUUCCAACUUUAUUUUCAAUUAAUCAAACCUUAAGAAAUCACCAUCGACUGAAGAGAUCAAUAAGCACAGAACGUUUUGUGGAGACACUGGUAGUAGCAGACAAAAUGAUGGUGGGAUACCAUGGACGCAAAGAUAUUGAGCAUUAUAUUUUGAGUGUCAUGAAUAUUGUUGCCAAACUUUACCGUGAUUCCAGCCUAGGAAACGUUGUGAAUAUUAUAGUAACUCGUUUAAUAGUCCUCACAGAAGAUCAGCCAAACUUGGAGAUAAAUCACCAUGCAGACAAGUCCCUUGAUAGCUUCUGUAAGUGGCAGAAAUCCAUUCUCUCUCACCAAAGUGAUGGAAACACCAUUCCAGAAAAUGGCAUUGCCCACCAUGAUAAUGCGGUCCUUAUUACUAGAUAUGAUAUCUGCACAUAUAAAAACAAGCCUUGUGGAACACUGGGCUUGGCCUCUGUUGCUGGAAUGUGUGAGCCUGAAAGGAGCUGUAGCAUUAAUGAAGAUAUUGGCUUAGGUUCUGCUUUUACUAUAGCACAUGAGAUUGGUCACAAUUUUGGUAUGAACCAUGAUGGAAUUGGAAAUUCUUGUGGGACCAAAGGUCAUGAAGCAGCAAAACUUAUGGCAGCGCACAUUACAGCAAACACCAACCCCUUCUCAUGGUCAUCCUGCAGCAGGGAUUAUAUCACCAGCUUUUUAGAUUCAGGCCGUGGUACUUGUCUUGAUAAUGAGCCUCCAAAGCGUGACUUCCUUUAUCCUGCAGUGGCCCCAGGUCAGGUGUAUGAUGCUGAUGAACAGUGUCGCUUCCAGUAUGGAGCAACAUCACACCAGUGUAAAUAUGGGGAAGUGUGUAGAGAGCUUUGGUGUCUCAGCAAAAGUAACCGCUGUGUUACCAACAGUAUUCCAGCAGCUGAGGGUACACUUUGCCAAACUGGAAGUAUUGAAAAAGGGUGGUGUUAUCAGGGAGAGUGCGUACCUUUUGGCACUUGGCCCCAGAGCAUAGAUGGGGGUUGGGGUCCCUGGUCAAUAUGGGGAGAGUGCAGCAGGACCUGCGGGGGAGGAGUCUCAUCAUCCAUAAGACACUGUGACAGUCCAGCACCUUCAGGUGGAGGAAAAUAUUGUCUUGGAGAAAGAAAACGAUAUCGCUCAUGUAAUACUGAUCCAUGUCCAUUUGGAGCCCGUGAUUUCCGUGAAAAACAAUGUGCAGAUUUUGACAAUAUGCCUUUCCGAGGAAAAUACUACAACUGGAAACCCUAUACAGGAGGUGGGGUUAAGCCAUGUGCGUUAAACUGCUUAGCAGAAGGUUACAACUUUUAUACUGAACGUGCCCCUGCAGUAAUAGAUGGAACCCAGUGCAAUGCAGAUUCACUGGAUAUUUGCAUAAAUGGAGAAUGCAAGCAUGUUGGAUGUGACAAUAUUUUGGGAUCUGAUGCUAAAGAAGACAGGUGUCGGGUAUGUGGAGGAGAUGGCAGUACAUGUGAAGCUAUUGAAGGUUUUUGCAAUGACACAUUGCCUAGAGGAGGCUACAUGGAAGUGGUUCAGAUUCCAAAAGGUUCUGUUCACAUUGAAAUAAAAGAAGUGGCAGUGUCAAAGAACUACAUUGCUUUGAAAUCUGAGGAAGAUGACUAUUAUGUUAAUGGUGCCUGGACUAUUGACUGGCCUAGAAAAUUUGAUGUUGCUGGGACAGCUUUCCAUUACAAAAGACCAGCAGAUGAACCAGAAUCCUUGGAAGCCUUAGGACCUACCUCAGAAAACCUCAUAGUCAUGAUUUUACUACAGGAGCAAAACCUGGGCAUAAGGUAUAAAUUCAAUGUUCCCAUCUCUCGUACUGGCAGUGGCGACAAUGAAGUUGGGUUUACAUGGAAUCACCUACCUUGGUCAGAAUGUUCAGCUACUUGUGCUGGAGGUGUGCAAAAACAAGAAAUAGUGUGUAAAAGGCUGGAUGAUAAUUCUAUAGUACAGAACAAUUACUGUGAUCCUGACAGUAAGCCACCAGAAAAUCAAAGAGCCUGCAACACUGAGCCUUGCCCACCUGAGUGGUUUAUAGGAGAUUGGUCAGAAUGCAGUAAGACCUGUGAUGGUGGAAUGCGAUCACGAACAGUUUUGUGUAUCAGGAAGAUUGGACCAUCUGAAGAGGAGACAUUGGACAGUAGCCAUUGUUUAACACACCAGCCAAUAGAAAAAGAAUCCUGUAACAACCAGACUUGCCCCCCACAAUGGGUUCCUUUGGAUUGGUCAGAAUGUACUCCAAAAUGUGGUCCUGGUUUCAAGCAUCGAAUUGUUCUUUGCAAAAGCAGUGACCUUUCAAAAACAUUUCCAGUUGCGCAUUGCCAAGAAGAAAACAAGCCACCAGUCCGCAUGCGCUGUAGCUUGGGCAGAUGUCCACCACCACGAUGGGUCACUGGAGACUGGGGACAGUGUUCUGCGCAGUGUGGUCUUGGACAACAAAUGAGAACUGUGCAGUGUCUCUCAUAUACUGGGCAAGCAUCCAGUGACUGUCCAGAUCUUCUUAGGCCUCCAUCAAUGCAGCAAUGUGAAAGCAAAUGUGAUAGUACUCCCAUUUCCAACACAGAAGAAUGCAAAGAUGUGAAUAAAGUGGCUUAUUGCCCACUGGUGCUGAAGUUCAAGUUCUGCAGUCGAGCAUACUUCAGACAGAUGUGCUGUAAGACCUGCCAAGGACAUUGACCCACAGAAAUGGAAAGUGCCUUGUUAUUUCAUUGAGGAAAUGUGUCCAUCAAAGACUGCUGCACAGUGCAACCAGACAGAUGUCCUUGUAAAUGCAUCACCCUGUGGAAAAUGUAACCACUGGACAUUGAUAUUGCAAAGAGUGUUUCCACGAACACAUUUUGCUCUUUCAUUGGUGCUAGAAGACCAGGGAGUCCAAUGUUUACUCUGCAGCAUAGAAGAGCACUGAGUUUGGAAUUUAAGAAUCCUUGGAGCAAUUGUGACUUGCAUUGCUAAAGGGAAUAAACUACAGAAUGUAGUGGGAUUACAAAUCUGGACCUAAAUAAAACCUGAAUGAAAGAGGUCAGUCAUUGGUUUCCACAGCACAGGACAUUGCUGCUGCUACACUAUAGCCAUCUAUAUAAUCUAAGCUAAAAUUAUUAAGUAUUGUAUUCCUAACAAAUGACAAUAUGACCAUUAGCAUAGGCUACAGAAAGAUGGGAAGCCUAGGAAUUCAGUAGUAGGAUAAUAAACAUAAUGUGUUGCUGAUAUUUCCACUGAGCAAUGCCACCAAUUCUAAGACUCUCAUACUGAAACAAAAUGCCUACAAUUCAACCUGUCAAAAUAUAUACACCUAGGAUCAAUCCAUUUUAGGGAGAAUUUAUUAAUGUUAUGGAUAUCACAUAAACUUUCUUAACAAUACAUAAAGAACCCUUUCUAUUAUUGUGAUUAGUUGCUUAUUAUUUUAUAUGCAGUAUUAAUGUGGUACACUGUUACAUUGUUAUUAUUUUUAUUUGCUUUUGUAAAUUAUAUGCUAAUUUAUUUCCAUUGUUUCCUAACACUUGUUCCUACAUGCCAUACAUUCAGCUGCUUGUAACACUUGAUGCAGUAAAAUUCCACACCAGGCACAGAUUUGUUUUUAACAUAGAUAAUUUAGUAAAAUAAAAACUGCAGCUUUAAAGAAUAAGCCUUAUGGUAGCAAUCUGUUCACUGACAUCCCUCUACAGGAAUUUUGUGAGCACAAAUAUUUACAGCAUUGAAAAACAGAUCUGAAAGUAUAUUUACUUUUGGUUAAAGAUAACACAUCAGGCAAUGUCUCUUUGCUGUCUCAGUCAUGUUCCCGGCUUUAACUGCCUUUGGACAUGUUGUGGAAAGGCCAUGGAGUACAGUCCACCAAGUACUGCUGCUAUAUUUAAUAUUAAGAUUUAAUAUUAAUCGCAUCUGCCAGAUGGUGAUCAUGGUCCUUUUAGGGGAAACUUUAGCUUUUUGCAUACUGACCUAGUUUCUAGUUUUAACUGGGAGAAGAUGGUGGACUGUGAACUGAUGAGCAAUGGGACAGAAGCUAGAACAACUGCAUACUCUCCUGCUAUCCCACAUCUGGCAUCUCUCACCAUGAAGGAAAUCUUGUAAAGCAGGAUCAAAGGGCUUAAAGGCAAAAUAUACCUGACCAUAUAAUCUAAUUAAAGAUUUAUUUUGGAUUUUAGGAACACGUUUCCAUUAAUAUUUUCUCUUCAUAGCCACUUUUCACUUUGCAUAUUGCACACUAUACACACACACACACACUAUAUAUACUAUAUAUUCCACACUUUAUUACAAAAAAGAACCUCUCCCAUAUUCUAUAAGAGCCAAUCCAUAUCUUUACAGUUUUCUGCCAUUUUCAGGAGGAACUUUUUUUUCCUCUUAUUGUGGAUGCAUUCCUAUGGAACUCAGCCUCAUUGUACAGAGUAAGCAAUACUGAAGGCUGCCUAUAAAUUGCAUCAGUGAGAAAUUCCAGAAAAGUUUCUAGAAUGGGACAGGUUAGCAGACCUCACUAAAGGGAGCUCUGCUGAGCCUUUAUUUUCUAGAAAUGAAUGUUUUGGUUCAUUUCCAGAUGCCUUAUCUGUUGUAUUUAUUAGAUUUAUAUCCUGCUUUUUCAUACAAUGAACUCAAAAUGGCUUAUCAAAUUCUCUUCCUGCAGUGCUCAAACUUAUCCUCACAACACAGCCCUAUGAGGUAGGUUGGGGUGAGAGUCACCAAGUUGGCUCCAUGGCUGAGCAGCAAGUAGUACUCCAAUCACCUGAAGACCAUUCUUGUGCUCUUAACCACUACACCACACUAGCUGUUUGGAAGUUUUUUUAGG